AUGGGGCCUGAUGGAGGCCCCGACAUGCCUAUAGAAAUUGGCCUUUUAGGACCCGCAGGGGAGGGUACAGGGCCAUGUCCACAAGAACAGAAGUGUGACUUUCUCAGGACCUGCUGGAGGAUUCUAGAGCCAUUGGUCGGAUACACAGCGACUUCGGCAGGGACUACUCAAAAACACAGUAUGAUGACUUUUCCUGCCUUCAUCUCCAGACCCAAGGAUACAGAACAAAGGCAACACAGAUCUGCACACUUCAAAAUGUCAACUGGAAUCUGCAAGCCCAGGUUCUCACAGGAGCUAAAGGUUAAAGGCCAAGGUGACAGGGGAGGCAGAUAGCAAGUAACCAAGAGAAAAUGUCAUGUGUCUGUGGCCACCUUCUCUACCUGUCAGAACCAAGCCACGGCUGACAGGUGGGAGCCACACCUGGACCUGGCCCCUCUGCCCGGGCUGCCCUUGAGCAUAGCAGAGGAAAUGCUGAGCUGGGUGUAGGUGUCCGGGGGAGAUGGGCAGUUGGCCACAGAGGCUACCUGCCAAGUACCUGUAGGACCAGUUCCUGGUCCUCAGCUAAGGUUAAACAACCAUUAUGUUUAUUUAUAUAUUUACUUGACAGGUAAUGUGCUCAGUGCUUUGAGAGACUAUAGUCUCUCCUAUCUUAUUUUUUUAACACUUUAUGGAGGUAUGAUUGAGAUACAAAAAGCUCUCCAUAAUUAAUGUAUGCAACUUGAUCCUGACCCUAACCCGAAUAUCUAGCUAGGAUUUAGAAUAUGUUCUGAUUUAGAAUAUGGUUCGUAAAUUAUAUGACGGGUUUUAGGAGCUGGGGAAUCCAGGACCAACCUUACCCUCCCUUGAAUGUGAUAGGUUGUAACACAUUCCGCCACAUGCUAUCUGCAGAGUGACCACACGAGGGCACCAGUGAGCACACAGCGCAAACCCCGCCCCCCACAAAGCCAAUGCUUCCCUCAUCCUGUACAACCUUGCUCAUUCAAUGUUUACAGAUCAUUUUAUAGAUUAUUAAAACUGUGACUUUGUUGAAUUUUUUAAAAGCCAAACUAAUUCCUUGAAACUGUUAAAAUUAUGUUUUCUAAAAUUCUCGGAGUUGGUCCUGGGGAGCAAAUGAAAACCUGGGGGCCUGGGAAAAACUGGUAUUGAAUACUUUAAGAUCUACUUAGAUAACAAGUAUGAAUUAUACUCUACUUAUUUUCAGAAAUAAUUCGUCUCAACUAACAGUAUUGAACUCACACAAUACAGUGCAUUUCGAGGGGAAAACAAAAAACAAAAAACAAAAAAAACAAGAAUCAACAGCCUCAAGAAGCAGAGAAAGAGCCACACCCAGGAA
rnacentral:lncRNA from 12 species